CUUCUUUGUAUUUUAAAGUAUACAGUUGUUUUCAUAUUGUAUCUCUUUGCAGAAUAUGAGCUUAUUGACAAAAAGAAGAAAAAAAUGAGGAAGGAAAUGAAGAAUAAACUCCUUAGAUUUGACAUGGAGAGGGUAGGAAAAAGGACAGGCAAAGAGUUAUUGACAUAAAUUUGCCCCUAACAUGCUGUGAUCACACAGCACUGAAUUUGGAAUCAGUCAUUCAUGACCUCAUAGCAACUGUGUUCACUGCUAUCCAUCACAUUCCCUCUCCAGGCUUUUGGUGACUUUUCCUAUUCUUAACAUCCUUUACGAUGGAAUGGCCAAUUUCUCAGUGAAAUUUAAACCCUGCUAGUAUCCAUGUCAAGGCAAAACACCCUGGUGAUUCUAAGAAGGGAAUGUUAGGAGAACUCCCUCCUAUUCAAAAGUCUCUGCUUAAAGAACUCAUAAAAUAAUGAGGAAGACAAAAUGAAGGAAAAGGAACAAAGAAAUCUUAUGCAAAAACAAGAUUACAACAACAACACAACACACAAUAAAAGAUAAUCUCAUAGAGAAAGCAAUAAUAAGAUGCAAGAGGAGAAAACAAAGAAUACAGUACAAAAGUCUCAUGAACUGCACUGCCCUCAAGAUCAUUGAUCUUUCACCCAAGCUAGCACCCACAGGGAAACUACUGAGGGAAAACAAUCUUUGCAGAGAAAAGGCUCAAUAUGUUCCCCCAACAGCACAACUGAUGAUUAGAUAAAGCAAAGAACCCUGGAAUAGCGAUGUCACCUGAACCUCCAGCCCUGCUACCAGUGCAGACCAUAGGUAUUGACUAGCUAAACAACUCCCAAGGAAUUGUGAAUUGUUAACUUCCUGGGCUAAUGUUACAAUCCUUGUAUUCCCAAAAAACAUAGACACUGAAGAACCAGAAAAUGAAAAAAUAAUGUCAUAAAAGAAAGUUAUUCUCAUACAAUAUUUUGGCUCUAUCAGAUGGGUUAAACAGAUUAUAAUAUCUCUUCCUUAAUGUUACAUAGAAAUACACACACCAC